UAUUAAAUUUACCCAGUUUGGAGACAAUAAAUAUUUAAAAUCUAACCAUAAACUCCAAUGUUCCUGCAUUUUUUUUAGCAGAACAAACACGAGGGCAUUCUCGUCUCUGUUAUAAUCAAUAGUUAACUCAUUUCUUCUUCUAGGUUAUUUCUUAAUCAAUUAUGAUUAUCAGCUGUCUAUCUAUUUACCAUGUUUAUGUUAAACUGGUCCG
rnacentral:lncRNA from 1 species